GGACGGGUGAGUAAUGUCUGGGAAACUGCCUGAUGGAGGGGGAUAACUACUGGAAACGGUAGCUAAUACCGCAUAACGUCGCAAGACCAAAGAGGGGGACCUUCGGGCCUCUUGCCAUCGGAUGUGCCCAGAUGGGAUUAGCUAGUAGGUGGGGUAAAGGCUCACCUAGGCGACGAUCCCUAGCUGGUCUGAGAGGAUGACCAGCCACACUGGAACUGAGACACGGUCCAG
rnacentral:rRNA from 1 species